AUUGAACGCUGGCGGCAGGCCUAACACAUGCAAGUCGAGCGAGCGGCGGACGGGUGAGUACUGGAUGGUGACUGCCCGAUAGAUGGGGAUAACUACUGGAAACGGUAGCUAAUACCGCAUACUAUCGGAUAACCCAGAUGGGGUUGGCUAGUAGGUGGGGUAAUGGCCUACCUAGGCGAGUAUCCCUAGCUGGUCUGAGCGGAUGAUCAGCCACACUGGGACUGAGACACGGCCCAGACUCCUACGGAGGCAGCAGUGGGGAAUAUUGCGCAAUGGGCGAAAGCCUGAUGGAGCCAUGCCGCGUGUAUGAAGAAGGCCCUAGGGUUGUAAAGUACUUUCGGUCGGGAGGCGUUACCUACAGAAGAAGCACCGGCUAACUACGUGCCAGCAGCCGCGGUAAUAC
rnacentral:rRNA from 1 species